GAUCAUGGCUCAGGACGAACGCUGGCGGCGUGCCUAAUACAUGCAAGUAGAACGCUGAAGGAGGAGCUUGCUUCUCUGGAUGAGUUGCGAACGGGUGAGUAACGCGUAGGUAACCUGCCUGGUAGUGGGGGAUAACUAUUGGAAGCGAUAGCUAAUACCGCAUAACAGUAGAUGUUGCAUGACAUUUGCUUAAAAGGUGCAAUUGCAUCACUACCAGAUGG
rnacentral:rRNA from 1 species